rnacentral:rRNA from 1 species
AUACGGAGGAUCCGAGCGUUAUCCGGAUUUAUUGGGUUUAAAGGGUGCGCAGGCGGGAGAUUAAGUCGGCGGUGAAAUUUUGCAGCUCCACUGUAAAAGUGCCUUCGGAACUGGUUUUCUUUAGUGUAGAUGAAGUAGGCGGAAUUUGUGGGGUAGCGGUGAAAUGCAUAGAUAUCACGAGGAAAUCCGAUUGCGCAGGCAGCUUACUAAACUACUACUGACGCUCAGGCACGAAGGCGUGGGGAUCAAACAGGAUUAGAUACCCUGGUAGUCCACGCAGUAAACGAUGAUUACUAGCUGUUUGCGAUACAAUGUAAGCGGCUGAGCGAAAGCGUUAAGUAAUCCACCUGGGGAGUACGUUCGCAAGAAUGAAACUCAAAGGAAUUGACGGGG